rnacentral:rRNA from 1 species
AACGAACGCUGGCGGCAGGCUUAACACAUGCAAGUCGAACGCAUCCUUCGGGGUGAGUGGCAGACGGGUGAGUAACGCGUGGGAACGUGCCCUUCAGUUCGGGAUAACCCAGGGAAACUUGGGCUAAUACCGGAUACGUGCGAGAGCAGAAAGAUUUAUCGCUGAAGGAUCGGCCCGCGUCUGAUUAGCUAGUUGGUGGGGUAAUGGCCCACCAAGGCGACGAUCAGUAGCUGGUCUGAGAGGAUGAUCAGCCACAUUGGGACUGAGACACGGCCCAAACUCCUACGGGAGGCAGCAGUGGGGAAUAUUGGACAAUGGGCGCAAGCCUGAUCCAGCCAUGCCGCGUGAGUGAUGACGGCCUUCGGGUUGUAAACCUCUUUUAGUAGGGAAGAAGCGAAAGUGACGGUACCUGCAGAAAAAGCACCGGCUAACUACGUGCCAGCCGCCGCGGUAA